UACGUAGGGUGCAAGCGUUAAUCGGAAUUACUGGGCGUAAAGCGCGCGCAGGCGGCACUCUAAGUACGUCGUGAAAUCUCCUUGCUCAACGGGGAGGGUGCGAAGUAGACUAGGGAGCUAGAGGUCGGUAGAGGGGGGUGGAAUUGCUGGUGUAGCGGUGAAAUGCGUAGAGAUCAGCAGGAACACCCGUGGCGAAGGCGGCCCCCUGGGCCGUACCUGACGCUGAGGCGCGAAGGCUAGGGGAGCGAACGGG
rnacentral:rRNA from 1 species